AGCCUACGUAUGACCACCAUAAUCUUCUUCUCUGCCCUAAACCCACCGCCACCAUCUCAAUCGCCACCAGUACUCCCUUCCAAAUCGCACCACCAACACCACCACAACAACUGUAGAAUCCAAUAUUGAGAUAUUCACCGCCUCCGGACCAAGAACAAACAGAUCUAGAAAUGAAUCGGUUAUCUUUUUGGAUUUGCAUGUUCGUGAUAAAAAUUGAAUUUCAAUUUCCGUCGGUUCUAAAUUGGGGAUAGAGAUCAAAGGGGAUUUAGGUGAUUAUCUUUCUUUUGUGGUUCUAUUCUAUGCUGGUAAUGGUGGUAUUCUAACUAGUUGUUGGUAUAGUUGUUGUUGUUGGUGGUGAGGGUGAGGGUGGGAUGAUGAAAUUGGUGUGGGAGAUAGUGGCGGUUCUUGUUGUUUAGGUGGUGGUGCCGUGGUGGAGAUUUGGUGCGACCGACUUUGGUGGUUGGGAGAUGGUAAUGGUGGCGAUUUAAAGAACAAAUGCAAAUGAUGGUGGUUUUAUUGCUCCUUCCCCAACUGUUGGCUAUGGAAAAAGCUUGAUCCUAGUCUUGAAAUACGUGUACCCGCUGUAAUCUUGAACACAUCACAGUUCAUGGACUUAGGCAAAAAUGUUUGUUUGCAGAGAUUUUGUUUUGCAACCUAAGCAUCUCCCAUCCCGUUUCAGCAUCAAGUACAGUUAGCGAGAUGAAAAGCGUUGUCAAAGAUACUUGGACUUCCUAAAGACCUCAUUCAGUUUUCUUUCGUUGUUUAUGAAACGUUGUACAGUAUAUCAUUUAUUCUUAUCGACUUAAAAUAUUUAGCUCUUUGUUGCUUCUCUAAUUCAAGUACUUAUUUAUCUAGUGCUUGUUCUUCGUUAUCUAGUUGUAUUCUAAUGACGAAGUAUCUAUGUUGUAGAUAUUUAUCUAGUGCUUGUUCUUCGUCAUCUAGUUGUAUUCUCAAUGACGAAGUAUCUAUGUUGUAGAAGACUUGACUGAUGACGUAUUUGUUGUAGAAGACUUGGCUUAUUUGAAUAGAUGAUUUUAGAGUUUCUGAAC